GUAGGUGGCAAGCGUUGUCCGGAAUUAUUGGGCGUAAAGCGCGCGCAGGCGGGGGUUUUUAAGUCUGAUGUGAAAGCCCACGGGCUCAACCGUGGAGGGUCAUUGGAAACUGGAGAACUUGAGUACAGAAGAGGAAAGCGGAAUUCCACGUGUAGCGGUGAAAUGCGUAGAGAUGUGGAGGAACACCAGUGGCGAAGGCGGCUUUCUGGUCUGUAACUGACGCUGAGGCGCGAAAGCGUGGGGAGCAAACAGGAUUAGACACCCUGGUAGUCCACGCCGUAAACGAUGAGUGCUAAGUGUUAGGGGGUUUCCGCCCCUUAGUGCUGCAGCUAACGCAUUAAGCACUCCGCCUGGGGAGUACGGCCGCAAGGCUG
rnacentral:rRNA from 1 species